rnacentral:rRNA from 1 species
AGAGUUUGAUCAUGGCUCAGGAUGAACGCUAGCGGCAGGCUUAAUACAUGCAAGUCGUGGGGCAGCAGGUUUGUAGCAAUACAGAUGCUGGCGACCGGCAAACGGGUGCGGAACACGUACACAACCUUCCUUCAAGUGGGGAAUAGCCCAGGGAAACUUGGAUUAAUACCCCGUAACAUUAUGAAGUGGCAUCACUUUAUAAUUAUAGCUCCGGCGCUUGAUGAUGGGUGUGCGCCUGAUUAGGUAGUUGGCGGGGUAACGGCCCACCAAGCCUGCGAUCAGUAACUGGUGUGAGAGCACGACCAGUCACACGGGCACUGAGACACGGGCCCGACUCCUACGGGAGGCAGCAGUAAGGAAUAUUGGUCAAUGGACGCAAGUCUGAACCAGCCAUGCCGCGUGGAGGAUGAAGGUCCUCUGGAUUGUAAACUUCUUUUAUCUGGGAAGAAAUCUACUUUUUCUAAAGUGGUUGACGGUACCAGAUGAAUAAGCACCGGCUAACUCCGUGCCAGCAGCCGCGGUAAUACGGAGGGUGCAAGCGUUAUCCGGAUUCACUGGGUUUAAAGGGUGCGUAGGUGGGUUGAUAAGUCAGUGGUGAAAUCUCCGAGCUUAACUUGGAAACUGCCAUUGAUACUAUCAGUCUUGAAUGCCGUGGAGGUUAGUAGAAUAUGUCAUGUAGCGGUGAAAUGCUUAGAUAUGACAUAGAAUACCCAUUGCGAAGGCAGCUGACUACACGGAAAUUGACACUGAGGCACGAAAGCGUGGGGAUCAAACAGGAUUAGAUACCCUAGUAGUCC